rnacentral:sRNA from 1 species
AAAUACCCGCGUGAGGGAUAGAAGUGGAAAGCCCGCAGAUCAAUGAAGCGAUAGCGGAAUUGAUCGAGGACUUGUAACGGAUAGCCCGACCCUUG